rnacentral:rRNA from 1 species
UACGGAGGAUGCGAGCGUUAUCCGGAUUUAUUGGGUUUAAAGGGUGCGUAGGCGGGAUGCCAAGACAGCGGUUAAAAUGCGGUGCUCAACGCCGUCGAGCCGUUGAAACUGGCGUUCUUGAGUGGGCGAGAAGUAUGCGGAAUGCGUGGUGUAGCGGUGAAAUGCAUAGAUAUCACGCAGAACUCCGAUUGCGAAGGCAGCAUACCGGCGCCCUACUGACGCUGAGGCACGAAAGCGUGGGUAUCGAACAGG